AUUGAACGCUGGCGGCAGGCCUAACACAUGCAAGUCGAACGGUAACAGGAAGCAGCUUGCUGCUUUGCUGACGAGUGGCGGACGGGUGAGUAAUGUCUGGGAAACUGCCUGAUGGAGGGGGAUAACUACUGGAAACGGUAGCUAAUACCGCAUAACGUCGCAAGACCAAAGAGGGGGACCUUAGGGCCUCUUGCCAUCCGAUGUUCCCAGAUUGGAUUAGCUAGUAGGUGGGGUAACGGCUCACCUAGGCGACGAUCCCUAGCUGAUCUGAGAGGAUGACCGGCCACACUGGAACUGAGACACGGUCCAGACUCCUACGGGAGGCAGCAGUAGGGAAUAUUGCGCAAUGGGCGAAAGCCUGAUGCAGCAAUGCCGCGUGAAUGAAGAAGGCCUUCGGAUUGUAAAGUACUUUCAGCGGGGAGGAAGGGAGUAAAGAUAAUACAUUUACUCAUUGACGUUACCCGCAGAAGAAGCAACGGAUAACUCCGUG
rnacentral:rRNA from 1 species